rnacentral:rRNA from 1 species
UUCUGACGUGCAAAUCGAUCGUCAGACCUGGGUAUAGGGGCGAAAGACUAAUCGAACCAUCUAGUAGCUGGUUCCCUCCGAAGUUUCCCUCAGGAUAGCAGGCGCUUGUUUCAAACAGUCUCAUCCGGUAAAGCUAAUGAUUAGAGGUCUUGGGGUUGAAACGACCUCAACCUAUUCUCAAACUUUAAAUGGGUGAGAUGGUCGACUUUCUCGAUUGAAGCCGACCAAUUGGAUGUGGAGUGCCUAGUGGGCCAUUUUUGGUAAGCAGAACUGGCGCUGUGGGAUGAACCAAACGCCGAGAUAAGGCAUCAAAUGCACACGCUCAUCAGACCCCAUAAAAGGUGUUGGUUGCUAUAGACAGCAGGACGGUGGCCAUGGAAGUCGGAAUCCGCUAAGGAGUGUGUAACAACUCACCUGCC